ACUUAGGCUGCUCCUACAUUGAAAGCGGAUUUUCUUCAGACUUGAUGGUCUGAGCGGGUCUGACGAAAACAAACACAAAGGAGCCGUAUUCCGUCCUACACUAGAGCCAGUUGUCGUGCCGGGAAGGAGCGACGGGUCUGAACUGGUCUGACAACAACCAAAAUAGUUUGUUUUUCUCCCAGUUGGUUCGUGUUUGGUGUUCCUAUUUGGCUCGUGUUUAUAAAGUAUUUAUAAAUCAUAAUAAUUGUUGUUAUAAUGGUAGACAAAUGAAACUUUAUUGAGUUAGUGCGUGGCUUUGUGGGACCAGAGGGAAAAAAAUUACCCCAACCGCAAUUUAAGGGGAAAGCUGUGGGAUGAAGUUGGUAAAGAGCUUGGAAUUGAAGGAGAUAUGGCCCGCAAGAGUUGGGAGUUGCUGAGAGAUAUGUUACGCAAGAAAAUUAAGGAAAACUGUGAUGCGGCAAGUGUGCUGCCGAAUCCAAGUGGGUUUAUUUUGAUUCAUUGAGCUUCUUGGUUCCUAUGAUGAAGCCAAGAGCUACUUCAGGAAAUCUGCCUGCGUCUCAAGUAGCAAAUACACUGAUGGACAUCAGGUGAAAUUGAUGAAACUCAGGAAUCAGGCGAAACUCCUCGAUCACAACAUGACUUUGACGUCCACACUGAAGAUAAAAAUGUUGAUGAGCCUGAGGAACUUACACAAGUAAACAAAGCUCCACAACCUACUACCACCUCCUCGACAGAAGAGAGUAAGUUUCGGUGCCCCGGACUUACUCUCUUCUGUUAAGUUAGAAAGAAGAAAAGUGCAGAGGAGGAUGACGACCUAUCAUUCUUCAAAAGUUUACUUCCUUCGCUCAAACAAUUACCACUCCUAAAACGAAUGAAAUUACGAUCAAAUAUUCUGAGUUGUGUCAUCGCUGAGCUUGAAUCACUAGAACUAAGCAACACACCAUGGACAUCGCCAUUGACAGUUUUACCUCACCCUCCAUGAAAUUACACAGGAUACUACCCCAAUCAACCGUAUGCAUCCAGUUCUUCGGAUACAUCAAGCUCCAUUCUUUCUCCAUGCCAACCAGAAAAUUCCGAACAAGCAGAAUCUUAAAAUAUCUCAAUUACCUUGCGAAACUUUUUUUUUAUUUUUUUACAAUUUAAUUUGUUGAAAUAAAUAUGUUCUAACUUA